CGGGGUGUGGCGCAGCCUGGUAGCGCACCUGAAUGGGGUUCAGGAGGUCGCGAGUUCGAAUCUCGCCGCCCCGA
rnacentral:tRNA from 1 species